rnacentral:sRNA from 1 species
GAGGUAAAUAUAGCUUAAAAAUGGUUACAACCACCCAGCCCUCUUAACAGUCCAAAGCCAUUAUUCCAAUGUCAGAUAAAAACGAAAACAUUUUUAAAGGAUGACUGCUGAAAACAUCAAACACGUUACAGGGUAAUUUAACACUUUGUUCUGAGGAUAUAUCAAGAAUUAGCCAUUAUGAUUUGUAGUGUUUUUAAGGAAAAUAACAAAGUGCUAAUACAUUACAAUUAGAAAUAACAAUGUGACUUGGGUUCUCUCGAAUUUUAGAAGGACUGUUCUGUUUCUGCAUUUUUAUGCAAGUCUGACGAUUUUCAUUAUCUUGAAUCUGAUAUAUGAACAUGUGUUUAAACUCAGACCUCAAAAUUACCUGCAUAAUGAAAUUAUCAUACGAUUCAUGUGAUUUUUUGCUUAAGUGUGCAUAAUAUAAUUUUUUUUGUGUAAUGUGUGUUUUGAAUUUGAAAUGAUUUUUUCAUAGAUACACAUGCAUACUCUAUGACUCAAUGACGUCAUCUUUCUCAGCUGACAUAUUAUAGAAAUCCAAAUUAGUGAUAAAAUUUAUAUGACAAUGACCGUCUACUAACUGACAAUCACCGUCUACUAACUGACAAUGACCGUCUACUAACUGACAAUAUGUAGGGAGUUGUUUUUCGUUAUAACACACAGAUACAAACUUAAAGCAGGAAAAGUAGUUAUUAUAUUUUUAUUUAUUUUAAAAAGUACAACUUGUUUUUUAAGUUUUUAGAAAUUGUUUAUUUGUCUCUUUUUUUAAGUCAACUCUUUUUUCAAUUCUUUUUCUGUUAACAUGUUAUUAUUUAUCUGCUUCAUGUUGAAUUAUUUGCAAUAAAUUGUUAAUUAUG